GAACUUGCCUCUUGGUCUGGGACAACUGUUGGAAACGACAGCUAAUACCGGAUAUUAUGAGAUUCUCGCAUGGGAAACUUAUGAAAGCUAUAUGCGCCAAGAGAGAGCCUUGCGUUCCAUUAGCUAGUUGGUGGGGUAACGGCCCACCAAGGCGACGAUGGAUAGCCGGCCUGAGAGGGUGAACGGCCACAAGGGGACUGAGACACGGCCCUUACUCCUGCGGGAGGCAGCAGUGGGGAAUAUUGGACAAUGGGCCACAAGCCUGAUCCAGCAAUUCUGUGUGCACGAUGAAGGUCUUCGGAUUGUAAAGUGCUUUCAGUUGGGAAGGAGAAAGUGACGGUACCAACAGAAGAAGCGACGGCUAAAUACGUGCCAGCAGCCGCGGUAAUACGUAUGUCGCAAGCGUUAUCCGGAUUUAUUGGGCGUAAAGCGCGUCUAGGCGGAAAAAUAAGUCUGAUGUUAAAAUGCGGGGCUCAACUCCGUAUUGCGUUGGAAACUGUUUUUCUAGAGUACUGGAGAGGUGGGCGGAACUACAAGUGUAGAGGUGAAAUUCGUAGAUAUUUGUAGGAAUGCCGAUGGAGAAGUCAGCUCACUGGACAGAUACUGACGCUGAAGCGCGAAAGCGUGGGGAGCAAAC
rnacentral:rRNA from 1 species